GUGGAGAGGAACAAUUCUGAGUCUUAAC
rnacentral:piRNA from 2 species